CCUACGGGUGGCAGCAGUGGGGAAUAUUGGGCAAUGGGCGCAAGCCUGACCCAGCAACGCCGCGUGAAGGAAGAAGGCUUUCGGGUUUUAAACUUCUUUUUUCAGGGACGUAGCAAGUGACGGUACCUGACGAAUAAGCCACGGCUAACUACGUGCCAGCAGCCGCGGUAAUACGUAGGUGGCAAGCGUUAUCCGGAUUUACUGGGUGUAAAGGGUGUGUAGGCGGGACGGCAAGUCAGAUGUGAAAACCACGGGCUCAACCGGAGGACUGCAUUUGAAACUGUCAUUCUUGAGUACUGGAGAGGCGGACGGAAUGCCUGGUGUAGCGGUGAAAUGCGUAGAUAUUAGGAAGAACACCAGUGGCGAAGGCAGUCUGCUGGACAGCAACUGACGCUGAGGCGCGAAAGUGUGGGGAGCAAACAGGAUUAGAUACCCUAGUAGUC
rnacentral:rRNA from 1 species